rnacentral:rRNA from 1 species
ACGGCCAGGACUACAGGGGUAUCUAAUCCCUUACGCUCCCCUGGCUUUCGUCCAUGAGCGUCAGUAAUGGCCCAGCAGAGCGCCUUCGCCACUGGUGUUCUUCCCGAUAUCUACGCAUUUCACCGCUACACCGGGAAUUCCCUCUGCCCCUACCAUACUCAAGCCGAUCAGUUUCCACUGCCAUAAUGGAGUUAAGCUCCACGCUUUAACAGCAGACUUGAAAGGCCGCCUGCGGACGCUUUACGCCCAAUAAUUCCGGAUAACGCUUGCCACUCCCGUAUUACCGCGGCUGCUGGCACGGAAUUAGCCGUGGCUUAUUCCUCAAGUACCGUCAUAUCUUCUUCCUUGAGAAAAGAGGUUUACAGCCCAGAGGCCUUCGUCCCUCACGCGGCGUUGCUCCGUCAGGCUUUCGCCCAUUGCG